UACAGAGGUCCCGAGCGUUGUUCGGAUUCACUGGGCGUAAAGGGUGCGCAGGUGGGUUUGCAAGUUUGAUGUGAAAGCCCCGGGCUUAACCCGGGAAUGGCAUUGAAUACUGCAGAUCUGGAGGAUUGGAGGGGGGACUGGAAGUUCUUGGUGUAGCAGUGAAAUGCGAUAGAUAUCAAGAGGAACACCCAGUGGCGAAGGCGAGUCCCUGGACAAUACCUGACACUGAGACCCAAAAGCGUGGGGAUCAAACAGG
rnacentral:rRNA from 1 species